rnacentral:RNase_P_RNA from 1 species
GGAGCCGGCCGGAUGGCCGCGGUCCGCUGAGGCGGAUCGAGGAAGGUCGGGACUCCGCAGGGCAGGGUGCUGGCUAACGGCCAGUCGAGGCGACUCGCAGGAAAGUGCCACAGAGAACAGACCGCCGGCCUCCGGGCCGGCAAGGGUGAAACGGUGCGGUAAGAGCGCACCAGCGCUCCGGGCGACCGGGGCGGCUAGGCAAACCCCACCCGGAGCAAGAUCGAGCAGGGAGAGGGCGGCCCGUCCGCAGACACUCCCGGGUAGAUCGCAAAGAUGGAUGGUCAUCCACGGAGACCCCGGCAACGGGCUCCCGGACAGAAUCCCGCCUACAGGCCGACUCCCCGC